AGCUGUUUUUGGACUACAACUCCCAUCAUCCCUAACCAGCAGGACCAGUGGUUAGGGAUGAUGAGACUUGUAGUCCAAAAACAGCU